GCCGCACUUGAGAUAUUAUGUAGUUGGUUGUGUCUUGUAAUCUUUCUGAAUUUGUGAAGAUGCAGUCAAGGGAAGAAAUUAAUAACUCCUCUCUGCAGAAAGUACUUACAGAUGUUGAAAAGAAACUUGUUGAUCUUUUUAUCCAAGAAUGGAACACUCAUUACAAACAAUCUCUUGGAGAAUGGGAAAAUACAAACGUCAGUGGUCAGAAAUUGUUCAACAUUGAAAGAUCAAAAAAAAUAUUUCGCGAUGAAAAAAUAUUGUCAAAACUUAAAGAUGGUGACACAAAAGCUAAAAUGCUCCUGUCUUUGAGAAAACUUAAAGGAGAUAGAAGAAAAGGGAAAUAAAUUUGUAACUCAUUUUUAAUUAAAAAGAAAAUGAAUUUCUCUUCUCAUUUUAGGUAUGUCUUCUUUAUACUAAAGCUGAUUAAAAACAGUUGUAUUGUAGAUUUCUUUUAACAAAGGCUCAAAAAACAACAGUUGUACUUUUAUAAAAGAUAUAAAUAUAUUAUUGACAAUAUUCAAACAUUUGUAUUUUCAAGUUUUCAACUAUCAUUUAUUUAAUGGAACAGUUUUUAUUGAAAAACUUGUAUGGAACAAUCAAAGUAUAUUUAUGAGUUUAGUUUGCAAUAUCUAGCUAUUCAGAAGUUGUGAAGUUCCUUAAAAUAAAUGUUGGGUCAUUUUCUUGUA